UACCAGCACCCCGAGUGGUCGGGACGAUUAUUGGGCCUAAAGCAUCCGUAGCCGGUCAUGCAAGUCCUCCGUUAAAUCCACCUGCUUAACAGAUGGGCUGCGGAGGAUACUACAAGGCUAGGAGGCGGAAGAGGCAAGCGGUACUCAGUGGGUAGGGGGUAAAAUCCUCUGAUCCAUUGAAGACCACCAGUGGCGAAGGCGGCUUGCCAAUACGCGCUCGACGGUGAGGGAUGAAAGCUGGGGGAGCAAACCGG
rnacentral:rRNA from 1 species